GAGCUACCGCUAUUGGAGUUCGAUUAAGCCAUGCGAGUCGAGAGUCUUAGGGACUCGGCGUACCGCUCAGUAACACGUGGGUAACCUGCCCUAUGCUGGGGAAUAACCUCGGGAAACUGAGAAUAAUGCCCCAUAGUCCGCCAUGCCUGGAACGGUUGGUGGAUGAAAGCUCCGGCGGCAUAGGAUGGGCCUGCGGCGUAUCAGGUCGUAGGGGGUGUAACGUACCCUCUAGCCAUCGACGCGUACGGGUGUUGGGAGACAUAGCCCGGAGAUGGAUUCUGAGACACGAAUCCAGACCCUACGGGGUGCAGCAGGCGCGAAAACUUGGCAAUGCGAGAAAUCGUGACCAGGGAACUCCAAGUGGCUGGGGUAAGACCCAGUCUUUUCUUGACUCUUCAAAGGUCUUGGAAUAAGGGGUGGGUAAGGACGGUGCCAGCCGCCGCGGUAAUACCGGCGCCUCAAGUGGUAGUCGAUUUUAUUGGGCCUAAAACGUCCGCCGCCUGUUUGGUACAUUCGUGGGUAAAUCAACCAGCUCAACUGGUUGAAUUCUGCGAGCACGGCCAGACUUGGGACCGGGAGAGGUGUGGGGUACGCUCAGGGUAGGGGUAAAAUCCUGUCAUCCUGAGCGGACCACCUGUUGCGAAGGCUCCACACUAGAACGGAUCCGACGGUCAGGGACGAAGCCUAGGGGCACGAACCGGAUUAGAUACCCGGGUAGUCCUAGGUGUAAACGCUGUGGACUUGGUGUUGGGGAA
rnacentral:rRNA from 1 species